AGGCUAAGAGGAGAAAAAUUUUGAUUUUAAAUAGAUGUGAUUUUUUUAUACAUUCUGAAGCCAGAC